UACGAAGGGGGCUAGCGUUGCUCGGAAUUACUGGGCGUAAAGGGAGCGUAGGCGGACAUUUAAGUCAGGGGUGAAAUCCCGGAGCUCAACUUCGGAACUGCCUUUGAUACUGGGUGUCUUGAGUGUGAUAGAGGUAUGUGGAACUCCGAGUGUAGAGGUGAAAUUCGUAGAUAUUCGGAAGAACACCAGUGGCGAAGGCGACAUACUGGAUCAUUACUGACGCUGAGGCUCGAAAGCGUGGGGAGCAAACAGG
rnacentral:rRNA from 1 species